GUUGGGAAAUGAUGAGAAGUUACAUUAAGUUAUCAAAGGCUCUGGCUAUGCUGAAUGUGUUAUUUGCACGUCAGUCUGAUCCCGCA